AGGAGGAUGAGGAAGUCGAUUGCAGCACAGCGGGGCGUCGCUUUCUAGGUUAAACGCGUCCACAACUUUUUACCAUCGUGCAACCCGACGAUCGGCGGGCCUCCGUGUUGUCGUGCGCGGUGCGUCACGGAAAAUGCGUCGGGCAGUUUUAAUAACGCCCGUGCCGUUCGCACGUCGAAUAAGAGGCCCCUCGUUGGACAUGGCCACCGUUAUCACCACCGCCCGCUCCGUGUCUUAUUUGUGAACCUGCGUCUCCAACUGCCACAAGGCACAUUUUUACUCUAUGGCCAAGCUGCUUACCGCUCCGCAGUUGGUGCGUAACAAGGCGGUGUAAAAAAGACCGCGGGAGAGAGAGAAAAAGAAAAAGAAGAGAGGGAAUGGAAAGCGGCACGUUAUCGGCUGUUUCCGAGCCCUUUGUCGGUUGCCACGCCUUCAAAACUGCGUUUGCGCCACGGUAUUUGCGCAACAGUUGGAAGUUGGAAUUUUGCCUCCCGGAAAAUCACCCCCGCACGCGGCCCAAAUAAGGAAGGGAGAGCCCGACGCUAUCUUUCCAUCGUCGCAGACGAAAAUCCAGGAGCAGCCCAUUAGCUGGCUAACCGGCGCUAACCCACCUCGCCCUUUCGCUUGCAAGAGAGCCGCCCGUCUACAGUCUGUGAAUCGUGCGCACACAUGGCCGAUUGCCGUACGUUACAUGCACUUAUACUAGAUGUCCUGAAGACGCGCGCUUCCUUAACGGCUAAGAAGCAAAAUCUCCUUUUGGCGAGAUUAUUGCACUAGUAUGUGUGAAAAAUUAAUCAGAAUCAGUUGCAGAAUUAGACUCGAAAAUUGAUACUUAUAAAAUUGUUAAUUUUUAAAGAACUCUGAUUAAAAGUGAAAUAAUAAAAGACUCAAAAUUUAUUAAAAUUAAAGAGAGGUUUAUUAAGAUUAAAGAGAGGAAGUACGCAGUUAGCGGGACAUCUCGUAUACCGCGUCAUAUAUUUGUAUUAUUUCAUACGCUAAAUUUAACAGCUGACCCGAUCAGUUAAGCUUUAAAGAAGAUACAGUUGCGUGACGAUGCUCUUUCCUUUUAUUUUUCGCGUGGAAUUGUGGUAGAAUGUAUUCGACACACUUUCCGUUUUUCUGAAAAUUCAACAGUCAUUAAUUGAUAAGUGAAAAAAUUCAAUUUUAUCGUAUAAAAUAUCUCACGUUGAAGCAUCGUCCUACGCAACGCGCUUUACGCUAUACACCGCAAGGUGCAUUCGAUUCAUCCAAAAAUCCCAAUUUAUACAUUGUUAAACGACGCCUUUUACCAAAUUAUGCGAAGUCACUUCCUCUCGAGGAGCGAUCUGGCCUAUUAUUAUGCAUCAAUAUACCGAUUCGACACAUAGUGAAUAAAAUUGUAAGAAUUUUUUUUUCCAA